GGACUACUGGGGUAUCUAAUCCUGUUUGCUCCCCACGCUUUCGUGCCUCAGUGUCAGGAACGUUCCAGAGCGCCGCCUUCGCCACCGGCCUUCCUCCCGAUCUCUACGCAUUUCACCGCUACACCGGGAAUUCCGCGCUCCUCUCCCGCCCUCUAGCUAGGCAGUCACCUGCGACCUUCCUGGGUUAAGCCCAGGUCUUUCCCGCAGGUCUUACCUAACCACCUACGCACCCUUUACGCCCAGUAAAUCCGAACAACGCUUGCCACCUCUGUCUUACCGCGGCUGCUGGCAC
rnacentral:rRNA from 1 species